GGAAGCAGAAGCGGCGGCGGUGGCUGCGGCCCAAAGCGGAGUGAAGGAGGGAGACACGGAGCCGGAGAGCCGGAACCGGAGUCGCAGUGGCGGAGACCCCUGUGCGGUGCGGAGUGGGCAGCGGCCCCGACUCUGACCCGCGCGGGGGGUGGGCCAUGGCGGAGAUCAGCGACCUGGACCGGCAGAUCGAGCAGCUGCGUAGCUGCGAGCUCAUCUAGGAGAGCGAAGUCAAGGCCCUGUGCGCUAAAGCCAGAGAGAUCUUGGUAGAGGAGAGCAACGUGCAGAGAGUGGACUCGCCAGUCACAGUGUGCGGUGACAUCCAUGGACAAUUCUAUGACCUCAAAGAGCUGUUCAGAGUGGGUGGCGAUGUCCCUGAGACCAACUAUCUCUUCAUGGGGGACUUUGUGGACCGUGGCUUCUACAGCGUCGAAACGUUCCUCCUGCUGCUGGCAUUUAAGGUUCGCUAUCCUGACUGCAUCACGCUCAUCCGGGGCAACCAUGAGAGUCGCCAGAUCACGCAGGUCUACGGAUUCUACGAUGAGUGCCUGCGCAAGUAUGGCUCGGUGACUGUGUGGCGCUACUGCACCGAGAUCUUCGACUACCUCAGCCUGUCAGCCAUCAUCGAUGGCAAGAUCUUCUGUGUGCACGGGGGUCUCUCCCCCUCCAUCCAGACCCUGGAUCAGAUUCGGACAAUUGACUGAAAGCAAGAGGUGCCACAUGAUGGGCCCAUGUGUGACCUCCUCUGGUCUGACCCAGAAGACACCACAGGCUGGGGCGUGAGCCCCCCAGGGGCUGGCUACCUAUUUGGCAGUGACAUGGUGGCCCAGUUCAAUGCAGCCAACGACAUUGACAUGAUCUGCCGUGCCCACCAACUGGUGAUGGAAGGUUACAAGUGGCACUUCAAUGAGACCAUGCUCACUGUGUGGUCAGCACCCAACUACUGCUACCGCUGUGGAAAUGUGGCAGCCAUCUUGGAGCUGGACGAGCAUCUCCAGAAAGAUUUCAUCAUCUUUGAGGCUGCUGCCCAAGAGAUACCGGGCAUCCCCUCCAAGAAGCCCGUGGCUGACUACUUCCUGUGA